rnacentral:rRNA from 1 species
UGCGUAGGUGGUGAGGUAAGUCGGAUGUGAAAUCUCCGAGCUCAACUCGGAAAUGGCAUUGGAAACUACCUUGCUAGAGGAUUGGAGGGGAGACUGGAAUGCUUGGUGUAGCAGUGAAAUGCGUAGAUAUCAAGCGGAACACCAGUGGCGAAGGCGAGUCUCUGGACAAUUCCUGACACUGAGGCACGAAAGCCAGGGGAGCGAAACG